rnacentral:tRNA from 1 species
GGUUGUGGCUCAGCGGUAGAGCGCUCGCCUAGCACUUACGAGGCCCUGGGUUUGAUCCUCAGCACCA